UCGGGUCUCGGGUUGUGCUUCAAAACGACGCCAUUUUGGGGCUUCUAAGGCUAGCCCCAAACGACGUCAUGUAAGGGCCCUAUAAAUAUAAAAAAAUUCUAAAAAAAUCACUUCAGACUCCAUUUAAAAAAAAAUUUGAAAACCCAUCCCCUUCUUUUUUCUCAACAGCCUAGAAUCCGGCCAUGGGAACCACUGUCGAUCCGCCUCGACUAUCGGUCGUCGGCGAUGGCGACCGCCGUCCUCGGUGGUUGGAUUUUACGAAAAAGGCCUAUUUUGGCCGUCUUGUUUCCCUCAACCCAGAUCGAAAGCCCAUUAAAAAAACAAGAAAGGACCAAAAACCUUUCGGUUUUCUGAGUUUUGAAAACUUCCUCAGAGUCACCUUUCAUCGAAGGUGACAGCCUCGUCUACUCACGGUGACGGAGCACAAGGUGUCUGGUGAGUCAUCAAACCUUUCUCUUUUUUUUAUUAUUUGUAUUUUUUAUUUUUAUAAAAAAUAGUAGAUUCGAAAAAAUAAAAGGAAGAAAGAAUCACCUUUAAAAUUUUUUUUUAUAUUCUGUUUUUGAUUACUUCUUUGUAUAUAUUUUUCUCCAUAAAAAAUCCAGUCCGAAUAGAAUCUGCUUCCAUGGCUUUUAUAGCCAUUACAUACUGUUCAUUAUACAUUUUUUUCUAUUUUUUUACUAUUUCUACUGUUGUUUAUUACGUGUUGUUGUGUUUUUGCUUUUGUCUUUUUUUCUUUUUUGCAGGUGUCCCUGGCCAACAGUGGGGAGAGGCGUUCCCGAGGCAUCAGACCUCUAGCGACGUUCGUGCUGACAUGGCGAAGGCAUAGAGUGGCGGCGGCUGGAGGCUUAGGAAUUAGGGUUUCUGUUUAGUUUUUUUUGUAAACUUAAUGUUAUGGGCUUAAGGUUUUUUUUAUUUGGGACAUUUGGGUCAUUUGGG
rnacentral:lncRNA from 1 species